rnacentral:rRNA from 1 species
GGCUGAAAUUCGCCUUCCAUGAAGCCGGAAUUGCUAGUAAUGGCAGGUCAGCAUACUGCCGUGAAUACGUUCCCGGGCCUUGUACACACCGCCCGUCACACCAUGAGAGUUGGGAAUACCCGAAGCCUGUGAGCUAACUUAUAGAGGCAGCAGUCGAAGGUAGAAUCAAUGAUUGGGGUGAAGUCGUAACAAGGUACC